rnacentral:rRNA from 1 species
AUGGCAGCAGUCCUGCAGUUGUGCGUCGAUGAGCUCUGCUUUGUGUACCACAUCGCAGCGGCCACAAAAUGGCCCAAGCGCCUGAGCGAGAUGCUGCAGCAUGAGAAGUUGUUCAUAUUUGCCGGUUUCAGCAUUGAAAGCGACAAAGAGAAGCUGAAGUUGUCCAGUUUGGAGAUCAACCCCAACAAGUUCAUCGACAUUCAACGCAAGUGGAGAGUUCCAUACACCAGAAAAGAGUACGACUCCUUGACUGAUGUUGCAGCUAGCAUCAUCCACCCAUGCUACAAAGGCAUGAAGAAGAAGAUCAACAUGCAGGAAGACUACAAACUGUGGGGGACCAGCCCGCUGCCAGACAACCUCAUCGAGUACGCAGGAGUAGAUUCUUAA